GUCCACGCCCUAAACGAUGUUUACUUGCUGUUUGGCCUAUAUGGUUGAGUGGCGAAGCGAAAGCGAUAAGUAAACCACCUGGGGAGUACGCCCGCAAGGGUGAAACUCAAAGGAAUUGACGGGGUCCGCACAAGCGGUGGAGCAUGUGGUUUAAUUCGAUGAUACGCGAGGAACCUUACCUGGGCUAGAAUGUGCUUUGAAUGCGGGUGAAAAGCCCCGCCGGUCGCAAGAACAGAGUGCAAGGUGCUGCAUGGCUGUCGU
rnacentral:rRNA from 1 species